ACUCAAAGGAAUAGACGGGGGCCCGCACAAGCAGCGGAGCAUGUUGUUUAAUUCGAAGCUACGCGAAGAACCUUACCAGGGCUUGACAUCCCUUGACGUUGUCGGAAACGGCAAUUCCCUUCGGGGCAAGGAGACAGGUGGUGCAUGGUUGUCGUCAGCUCGUGUCGUGAGAUGUUAGGUUAAGUCCUGCAACGAGCGCAACCCCUAUGUUCAGUUACUAACGUGUAGAGGCGAGGACUCUGGACAGACUGCCGAGGGACAACUCGGAGGAAGGUGGGGACGACGUCAAAUCAUCAUGCCCCUUAUGUUCUGGGCUACAAACGUGCUACAAUGGCCGCAACAAAGAGAAGCGAAGGCGCAAGUCGGAGCGGAUCUCAAAAAAGCGGUCUCAGUUCGGAUCGUGGGCUGCAACCCGCCCGCGUGAAGUCGGAGUUGCUAGUAAUCGCGGAUCAGCAUGCCGCGGUGAAUACGUUCCCGGGCCUUGUACACACCGCCCGU
rnacentral:rRNA from 1 species